rnacentral:snRNA from 1 species
CGAACCGUGAAAGCGUGGCCU